UCUUCCCAAUGGCCCUGGAAUUUUGCGCUGGUGUUCUCAUCACUCUCCAGGUGAGGGAACUGAAGCCCAGCCUGUCGUCAUCUGUCUCAGCACUCUGAAAGGAAGAUCCAGUUACAGCAGAGUUUCUCGUGGAAUGCCCAGCCUCACCAAUAGUAUCUUGCUUGCAGAAGGCACUCAGAAUGACUGGCUAUGAUGGAAACAGCCACCAUGUUGUGAGGACACUCAAUUAGCCUUGUGGAGAGACCCACAUGGGUGAGAAACUAAGGGCUGCCACCAACAGCCCACAUCCACUUGCCAGCUCUGAGAGCAAAUAGAUCCUGCAGGCCUAGUCAAGCCUCAUUUGACUGACGCCUCAGUCAACAUCUUGACUGCAAGCCCAUGCAAAACACUGAGCCAGAAACCACCCACCCAAGAAGCUGUGAAUUCCUGACUGGCAAAAAAUGCUGAGCAGAAAACCAGGAAAUGGAUGGACUCCACCUCCGCAGCCACGCCUGCCCGUUUGCGCUUACUGAACAGAGGUCCUCAGGAACGUGGCAACUAUGGCUUGUCUGAGUCCUGAGCCAGCAGAGCUCAGGCCACAGCACCUGCACCCGUUUUCUGCUGCUGCACACAAGGGCUCUGUGCAUUCCGCAUCCAGGUGUGCCCCUCCUCUUCUGGAGGAUUCUUUUUCAGGCUGUCCCAGAGACUUUGCAGCACAGCAUCCUUGCUCUAUUUCUUCCUGCAACAUCUCUGCUGAAGCUCUAUUGCUUUUGGCAACUCUUCCGUCUAUUUUGUGGUUUAGGUGUCUCCUACUUUUACUAAAAAUGGAAUUUGUGUUUUUAUCGCUCAAGUCCUUUUUGCUUUUGGAUUACUUCCAGAAAAUGAAGGGAGGGUUACUAACUUUAUGCCAUCUUCAAACCAGAAGAUCUUAGAUUAGUAAGAUCAUGUUGGCCAUGGCAUGGAGAAUGGGCUGGAGGUGGAGAGACUGGAGGUUGGAAGUCCAGUUAGGAGAUUGCUCCUGCGCUGGGGAGUUGGUGUUAGGACAGAAGAUCCAAGACGCGUUUCAGAGGCUGUCGAGGACUGAAGGAGGCCCUUGUUCAGCAGAAGAGAGGUAAGAGCAAGUCUUUGUCUAUAAAAACCCACUGGAGGCUGCAGGUGGAUUAUCUUGUUUAAUCCUCACAACUUCCUAAUGAGGGCCCCUCUUCUUGGGCCUGCGAUUCCUCACCUGGAAGGGAGAAGAGUGGACUUCCUGCCUAGAGAACACCUUGGUAAACUCUUUGUGGUUCCUGUCAUGAGAAGGUGUGCAGCUUAGGGAAAAAGCCUGUGAGCUCUGGAAUCAGAUGGAACUGGAUAUGAAUUUCCAUUUAGUGCUUGUUGGAUUAAAUGUGAUGCUAGUUCUCCCAGCCGAAAGAAUAAAACUGGUAAGAGGAAGGGAAAUGCAGCCUCAGUAAGGAGGCCUCCAUUCUGGAAGGGCUUCCCAGGCCCAGAGAAGGGAGAAAGUAAUUUGGAACCACCCAAGUAUUGGUGAUGCCAGGCCUCACCCUACCCUGGGGAUAUUUGAAUCUCAAAAAGGGAGCAUGGGAAUCUGACAAAGCACUUGCAUGUAUAAAGAACUCCUCCAAAUCAACAAGGCAAAAACCUCAUUAGAUACAUAGGCAAAAACCUCAGAAGAGCCACAUCACAAAGGAGCACCUCCAAAUGGCCAAGAAGCAUAUGAAAAUAUGUUCAAUCUCAUUAGCCAACAGGGAAUUCAAAUUAGAACUACACCAGGAUGGCUGAAAGUGCAAAGACUGACAAUAUCAAGGGCUGGUGGGGAUGCAGAACAACUGGAACUCUCCUAUGCACUGCGGAAGGGGUAAAUUAAUACCGCCCCUUUGGAAGAACAGUUUAGAAGCAUCACUAAAGCUGAAUAUAUUCAUGCCUACUCCGGAAAUCCUGAGCCCAGGUAUAUAUCUAACAGAAGUUUGUUUAUAAAGGCACCAAAAGUCAAUUACACAAGAUACAAGAAUGUUCAUAGUAGAGCCGUUUGUAUUAGUCAUAAACUGGAAACCACCCAAAUGCCCAUCAGUGGGGCUCCCUUUGAAGAACUGCCUUGGGGUUCAUGUUGCAGCAUCAAACAGGGAUGGAAGAUGCAUCUUGCUUUAGCAGCAGGAGCCUGGAAAGCAGCUGAAGCCCUGGAGGGUGCCUGGCACACAGAAUCUUGUGCUGAGCCCGGAGCACAAUGGGAGCGGGCUGGCGGGGUGGGUUCACAGCUGGACUGGGAGCAGCAGACAUACAGGCCGUAGGCACAGACAUAUAAAGACAGUCAUGCAGAUUGCAGGAUGCCUGAGAGCACAGACUCUCACAUGCACAAAUACGUGCAUGAUCGCCAGUGUGCAUCCAGACAGCCCCACAUGCAUGCACACGCAUGCACACAUGUGAUGUGUACAUAGAUGGACACAUGUCUAUGCCCACAAACACUGCAGAGACACAGAAGUGUCUGGCAAGGAACACUAUUUUGUCCUCAAUUUUCUGCCAGUGAGAGUCUACUGACUCCAUCUCUGAAAUGUCUCUACUUAUUGUCCCUCUUCUCCACCUGCACCACAUCCCUAGUCCCUGAAACUCCCACCGAGACCCCUGGGCAAUAGCAAAGUCUGCACAGGAUUCCUGCUCCGCCUCUACCCCACCCUUAAGCCCAUCCUACAUGCAAGAGCAGGAGUUAUCUGGGUAUCAAGCAAAUCUGACCACAUCACCUCCCCACUGCUUAAAACCCUUUCCUACAGGAUGAAGUUGAAAUCACUUGACAUCCCAUAUAAGGCCCUUGACUGUCUGGCAUCAGCCAUAGUCUGGCCUCAGGCCCUGGCAUGGAGUCCCCUGGACUCAGUGCUCUGGCUGAGGGCCUCCAGGAUGAAGAUACCCUGUGCAAAGCCUCACACUUUUGCUGUUGCUGGGCUCACUGUGUGAAAUUCCCUCCUCCCUCCUUCCACCUUCCCUAUGCUGAACUGCCACUCCUCCAUCCUCCAUGGCCAGCUAAGCCAACACCUCCCCACUUCCUCCUGACAACCCAGGCACAGCCACUGACCUGUCCCAUGGCUGUCACAGCCCUUUCUUGGGCUCUCAAUGGUAUCAUUGUCACCUGUGUGCUCAUGAGCCUCUGCCACUCAACUCCAAGCACAUCAAAUAAAGAGCUCAAAACAUA
rnacentral:lncRNA from 1 species